UGAAAAUCAAUUAAAAUAGAUUUUAAAAAUAAAAAUUAAAAACAAAAGGAGAUUGUAGGAGUUUCAUUCUCCCUGGCCCUGGAGGAAACAGUCGUUCCUGUUGCUACUGGAAGUCAUUCAUUCAUUCUUCUCUCCAACCUAGUCUUAUUGAUCUAUGCACCAAGCACAACUCGGUUCUCAGGGCUAGGAAUACCAAAUCUUCCAUCUCCCAAUUUAGUGAAAGGGCAGAAAAUAAAUAAACAUAUAAAGACAUUGCAUACUGUCAAGUGACAAGGGCUAAGAAAAAAAAAAGAUAAGAAAACAGAACGUUGUGAGGUGUGGUACUUAUUUAAGAAACAGAGUUGCUUGGAGGAGGGUGAGAGUGCCCAGAGCUGAGGACACCUGGGAAGCCUUCCCAAGGAAGGGGACAUUUGACAGAGUCAGAGACAAAAGAGAAAAGUGGAUUGAAUAUGCAAGACAUUUUGAAAAUAAACCUGUUACGUAAUGACUGAUUAGAUUGGGAGUUUAAAAAGAAAGAUGAAUAAAAGAUUAUAUAAAAGCAAUAUUUUUUAAACUGCAAUAUUUCCUUAGUGGGUCAUGAAAUCAAAUUAAAUGGGUCAUAUAAUGAGACUUUUUAAAAUGGAAUCAAAUAGAUUGCAAUAAAAUAGAUUAAAGAGCAUCAUACAUAGUGAGGGUAAGUACUAUUUUAUAAAAUGUUCCUCAGUUACAUGUGUGUAUGUGUCUGUAUGUGUAUGUAUACCAGUUGUGAUAUAAAAUCUAUUUCUUACCAUGGGCCAGAGUUAACAUUUUUUAGAAAAUAUUGACGAGGUUUUAAAUCUGCUUCAAUGUAAGAUUAUGGUACCAUCGGUUUAAAAAAAAUACAUUAAUAAAUGCCCAUGAUUUUGAAGAUGAAGACUUUUUAGUUUGAGUUUAAUGUUUUAGCUGAAUAUCUAAAUAGAAAGGAGCAAAGGCAGUUGGAAAAGUGAGCACAGACAAGAAAUGUCAAAACUCAAGGUAGGAAUUUGGGAGUCACCUGCAGAAAAAAAAAAAAAACUAUAGCAAUGAAUAAGGUUAUUAGAAGAGAAAGUAUAAGAAACAGGAAAAAAAAGUCAAGGAUAAAGCCCAAGGCCAUAACAUUUGGGGGAAAAGGGUGGGAACAGAAAAACCACAAAAAUGUCCAAGAAGGAGCAAGCAAAGUUUCCAGGAAAAUCCAGAGAUGAAGGAGUAGGAGAUCCAAUAGAGAACAGAAUUUUGAUAGUGUCAAAUGUUCUAAACAAUCAAGGAGGAAGAUGUGGAUUAAGAAAAAGUCACUGGAUGUAGCAACUUUGAGAAUAUUAAUGAUUUACAAGGAAACUAUUCUUCAUGGGGAUGAAAAUACAAGCCAGGGUGGUUAGAACAUAAAGACAGUACACUUUGUAGUGAGGGGAAGCAUACAGAAUGAAAAUAUAUUCAUUGCCUUCAGUUUCUCGCUUCACCAGAUGUUUCUAACAAACAAUUCUCAGCGUCAUUGACACCAACUUUAUCUUUUCACUCAUCCAGUUCUUAGACCAUUUCUUUUAUUUUUUAUGUUUGCAGUUACAGUUGAUGACAUUCAGCAUUAUUUGAUAUUAGUUUCAGGUGCACAGCAUAGUGACAGUAAUAUAGACAG